ACUUUCCUGAGAGGAUAUGAUGCUCCAAGGAGAACGACUCACGCAGCGUGCUGCAUGGUCUGCCGCCUCGCUGCCGGCGAGAGAUGUUGGGUUAAGUCCCCCAACGAGCCCCCCCCUGGCGGUUACUUGCCAUCAUUAGACUGGCCACUUUAAUGCGACUGCCGGGGACAAACCACAUCAAAGCGGGGAGGACCUCAAGUCCUGGUGGACCUUAUGGCCAGGGCGUCCCACUUCAUACGGAGGCCGGGAAACAGGGCUGACCACCCCCCAGGGGAACCCUCCCCCAUAAAGACUGAUCGGAUGCCGCGUAUUGCCUCCUGAAACCCGACUCCCUAGAAUCCGAAUCUCUACCUCUCUACGGAUCAACAUGUUCCCCGGGCAUACGCUUCCCG
rnacentral:rRNA from 1 species